rnacentral:rRNA from 1 species
ACCAGGACGGCGCACACACCGCAUCUCCCCUGGCUUCUUUUCUCACAAAUCACGGCGGCUUCUCUGCGCACAACAGCCCACCAUCGCCCGCAUCUUGUGCUGCGGGUGCCCCGGCGACAGCUGGCUGGAGACCAGGGAGCUACGAGCAUGGGGAUACAGCGCUACGACCCACUACAGCCGGCGGUUGGCGGAGCUGCAUACAACGAUGCCGCCCAACUGGGAGCUGCAACCGGCGGUUUGGCUGGAGCUGCAUGCCUGCAUCCAGCGGCGCUGCUCGACGACGAGCUGCAACCGUUCAGUUUGGAGGUGCAUCCAGGGCGAGGAGGGAUGCAUCCAAUGGCGAACGCCGACGACAAGAAGCAACCGUGAAAUAAGAAGCUGGAAUCAGCCUCACCCUUUCAACGGCAGACCUGCAUCCAUGGACGCCGGACUGUGACCGGCAUUUUUGGGGAGCUGCAAGGUGGGCUAUUUGCUGAUAUGUUUUUUUCUGGAACUCGAGUUUUUUUUUGCUGGAACUGAUGUAAAUUUUGCUUCAAACGAUCAUCGCAUUUCUAAUUGCUGAGUUUGUUUUUUGCUGGAACCGUAGUUAUUUUUUGCUGGAACCGUAGUUAAGUUUUGCUGGAACUAGAUAAAUUUGUGCUUCAAACGAUUACCGAAGUUUCUAGUUGUUCAGUUCGUUUUGCUGGAACCGUAGUAAUUUUUUGCUGGAAUUGGAAUAAAUUUUUUGCUUCAAGCAAUUUUACUCGUUUUGCAGUUUCUCUGGUCGUUUUGCUGGAACCGCAGUUUUUUUUUCUUCUGCCGGAACCAGUUUUUGGUUUUGCUGCAACUGACCAUCAGAGUUUUUUUCGGGUGAGAUAUGUUUUUUGGCUGGAACAUGAUGGUGCAGGUCAACGACGGCGGCAAGCCAGAGGCGGCGCUGUCGUGCUAUGAUCAGCACUGCGAGUUGCUGGAACCGGCGUUGGGCAGUGCUACAUCCGGGCAAGGGUGGUGCUGGAACGACGACAAGAUGAGGAGGGGAAUUCGAGCUGCGAAGUGAGGCGGCGACCGGCGGAGGUUCGGUGAGCGACGACGUGCGGCGGGCAGUGCUAUGCGCGUGGGGAGCGUGCAUUGGGAUUUCCCCUUUUUCUCUCGCAGUCAGUGCACGGAAGAAGGCGACUCAAGGGAAAGCGUCAAUUGACGGCUAUUAAUGGGGAAAUCAGACGGCUGCGCGGUGACCGGCCUAAUUUGGGCCGGUCGACCGGCGCCUAUCAUUGCCCAACAUGUUUAUCUUAAAUUUUUACUUUACAAAGUUACUACGUCGGAAAAAAGUGUCCGCAAAAUCGAUUUUGCGCCGAGAUUGCUGUGCUACAAAUGCUCUAACAUACUCUUCGGCUUGAGAAAACUGCGGCUUGACCUUUCCCAAAUUUCCCCACCUACCUCCCGAGCCCAAACCCCUCUAUUCGCACCUCCGUCCUCCCCGCGGUUUCUAGAUGACUCGAGAAGCGAUGCGGAGGAAGGCGAAGGCCGUGCCGGAGUGGCUGAACAGCCCGCUCUGGUCGACCCCGCCGCUCGCCUCGACCCCCGCCGACCCCUACGGCACCGACUUCUCCCCGCCGCCUGCGCCGUCCCCCAAGCCGUCUCCUUCCGUUCCGCCGCCACCGAUGCGCGAGCAGGCGGUCGAUUCCUAUGCUGGCCGCGGGGGAGAGAUACGAGAAGAGGACGGCGCCGGCGCUGCUCUCCGGGCGCACUUGCUUGCCGACUUCAAGGCCGCGCUGUCUAAGAAGGUGGUGAACAUGGGGGAGCUGCGGAGACUCGCCUGCCUUGGCGUGCCAGAUGGCGGCGGCACGGACGUACGACCGCUCGUGUGGAAGUGUGCAGCUUCUCUUGGGGUAUUUGCCAACUGAACGCUCUUUAUGGCCUUAUGAACUAGAAAAGAAGCGAAGCCAGUACAGUGCAUAUAAAGAUGAGUUUCUUCUAAAUCCUUCAGAAAAAUUACGUAGAAUCGAGGAAUCAAAGUUGUCAAGAAAGAAAGAAUUAACUGGUGAAAGGAAUGGCUUGCUCCCAAGGUCAGAAGUAACUAAUGAAGAGCAUCCUUUGAGCUUUGGUAAAUCUAGCUUGUGGAACCAAUACUUCCAGGAAUCAGAGAUCCUGGAGCAGAUAGACCGAGAUGUGAAGCGAACACAUCCAGACAAGUCGUUUUUUUCUGCCAAGUCUAACCAGGAAUCACUAAGGCGUAUUCUCAUUAUAUUUUCAAGAUUAUACCCUAGUGUAAGAUAUGUGCAAGGGUUGAAUGAAGUUUUGGCACCUCUAUUUUACGUAUUGAAGAAUGACCUUGACACAAGUAACUCGACUUCAGCUGAAGCAGACACUUUCUUUUGCUUUGUUGAAUUGAUUAGUGGCUUUAAAAACAACUAUUGUAAACAUCUUGACAACAGCCUGGUGGGUAUUCGGUCUAUACUUUCAAAGUUGUCUCAACUCUUAAAGAAACAUGACGAAGAGCUAUGGCGUCAUAUGGAGGUCAUUACAAAGGUGUACCCGCAAUACUAUGCAUUUAGAUGGAUUACAUUACUGUUGACAAUGGAGUUCAGCUUCAAUGUGUGUAUUCACAUCUGGGAUGCCAUGUUAGGCGAUCCCGAAGGUCCUCCGGACACCUUGCUGAGGAUAUGCUGUGCUAUGCUCAUUCUUGUCCGGAAGCGGCUCCUGGUUGGAGAUUUCACCGCCAAUAUCCAGCUGCUGCAGCACUACCCGCAAACUAACAUAGAUCACCUCCUCCACAUCGCUAACAGAUUGAGAGGAACCAUGCCCAGCUAGUGAUUGGGAUGCCAUCUUGUCUGUGUGGUGUUCAUCCGGGCACAACUACAUGUAUGUACAUUGGACCCUGUCCAUGAGGUGUAUCAUGACAUCAUGCCAAGUUUCAUCUUGUUCUCUUCAUUUAUGUUCACUUUAAAUUCAAAAACUGAAAACUCCAAGUAUGUACGUAUUUGAUUUUUCUCUGUGUGUGUUUACGGAGUUGUGUGGUGGAGGCACUAGAUUUUGUUUACUAAAUAUAAUGGCAAGAAAAAAGCACAGGAGUGGUGGGCCCUACAAAAUAUCCGCCACUAGUAAC